rnacentral:rRNA from 1 species
AAUGAACGUUGGCGGCAUGGAUUAGGCAUGCAAGUCGGGGGAAUCCCAGCAAUGGGGGAACCGGCGUAAGGGGCAGUAAGGCAUGGGUACCUACCUUGGGGUUCGGGAUAGCCAUCAGAGAUGGUGGGUAAUACCGGAUGACGUCGUGAGACCAAAGAUUUAUCGCCCUUAGAGGGGCCCAUGUGAUAUUAGCUAGUUGGUGGGGUAACGGCCCACCAAGGCGAAGAUGUCUAGCGGGUGUGAGAGCACGACCCGCGCCACUCGCACUGAGACACUGGCGAGACACCUACGGGUGGCUGCAGUGGAGGAUCUUCGGCAAUGAGCGCAAGCUUGACCGGGUGAUGCCGCGUGAGCGAUGAAGGCCUUCGGGUUGUAAAGCUCUUUAGUGGGGGAGAAAAGCCGCAAGGUGUGAUCUAUCCCAAAAAUAAGCACGGGCUAAGUUCGUGCCAGCCGCCGCGGUAA